rnacentral:lncRNA from 1 species
GCCUUCCCUCAGCCCUCUUACUUCUUCAAGACCUACAUAGAAGUACACAAAUGAGCACUUAAUCCAGAAUCUAGAACCCAACUAGAAGAAGAGAAAACCGUUAGAUUGGUUUCAAUAACAAACAUAUCAAACGUACCUUCAGAAGGUCUAUCCUUCUUCCUGCUUUUGACAGUCACCAGGUAGGCCAGACAGUUCUUCCUUCAGUGGCCUUCAACAUUGCAAUGG